rnacentral:rRNA from 1 species
AACCUCAGUUCGGAUUGAAGGCUGAAAUUCGCCUUCAUGAAGCUGGAUUCGCUAGUAAUCGCGCAUCAGCCACGGCGCGGUGAAUACGUUCCCGGGCCUUGUACACACCGCCCGUCAAGCCAUGGAAGCCGGGAGUGCCUGAAGUGCGUGAGCGCAAGCAGCGCCCUAAGGUAAAACCGGUGACUGGGGCUAAGUCGUAACAAGGUAUC